ensembl:lncRNA
AUAAAAUUCAACAAGUUCUUAAACUGUUCUAAGAACUGUUUGUAGAUAAAGCAUAGUAGAUAAAGAUAGGUGGGAAGAAACCUGAAGGAAAAUGAAAAAAUGAUAACAUUUGGAAGUCUCAAGGGAAGAAUAGAGAACAAUAAAACAACGUACUUCAAGAAACUCAGUGCAGGUCUGAAUCACUUCAGAGUGUGAGAGCUGAACAAUAAAUAAUGUGGGCAACAGAAUUUUUAUGCUUGGUGUUCUUCUUUCUCUUUUUAAGUUUAAGUUGACUUAUCCUGUUGAAAUGUACUCUACAUGACUUGGAGCAGGCUGAGGCAACUGCAGAUUCUAAACAGUAAUCUUUUAUAAUUCAUGCAAGACAGUAAGACACCAGAAGAUCAGGAAGAGUAUGUCUUUCAACAGGAUAAAGGAACUGUAAGAGGUCAUUCUUUUACGCCGUUGCCUCAAAGCUUGCUGAGGGACACAGAUGAACAAAUUCAAGCAAGUCCUGACCAAGGAUUAAGAAAACCUUCGUCUGAAGGGACAACAGAUGGACAACGCCUGGGGCAACGAGAGAGAUUCCACACGACCUGCCUCUCCCUCCCGGACUCGCUCUGUGCUCUACCUGCUUGCUGCCUAAGGAUGGCCUCUCUGCUGCUGCUCACCCCUCCGAGAAGGUGUCUGCCAUCAGAUCCCUCACUACAAAAGGCCUGCAUGCUGACUGACUCUCCAGGGCCUGCUACCGGAGACCUGCUGCUUCCGCCCAGACUUCUUCCUGGACCUACUCGGUACCUGCCUGCACCUUCUCGCUGCCUAAGACCGGCCACACCGCUGCUGCUCUUCCCCUGCGCUUUUGCCCCGGACCAUCGGAACGUCGUGCAACGGGACUACUGCCGGAUCCUGGUGAGUGCUGAAGACCCUGCAAUCACUCUGGAAGAGACUUCCGUAUCUGCUUCUGCAGACUGUCUGGGACCGUUAAAUGACCAAAUAUUUAUCUGUGGUUGAAAAAAUGACAUAUUUCUUCUUGUUUGCUAUCUGACCAUGUUGUUUGUACAAGCACCCUCAGAGGUGUGCAGAAGUAUACAUACAGCUGCAAGGAUAUCACUGAAAGGUGAGAAGGCUUAAGAGGUGAGCCAUCUUACACGUUUGAUUGAGGCACCUUCUGUCUGGCUUUGGAAUCCUCAAAUAAGGAUAUUGAGGUCUUGUGAGCUGCUGUUAGAAAAUAUAACACCAGUUAUUUGGUGGAUAGGUCAAAGGUUUGUAAUUAGUACUGGGACUACAUCCAUCCUUGCACUGUAUAUUCACACAGGCUCAUCACAAUCAUGGGCCUAAAAUAGGAACAUCUUACACAGUAGAGGAAUGUUACCAAGGUGUGAAGGCUCUUGCUUUUUCAGGAGAAUAACUGGGUCAAAUUAUAUAAGGAGGAUAGAUUUUUAAAAAAAGCCAUUUUUCUUGUAAAAUGCAUUCCUAUUGAAUUCAUAAAAUUCUUACAAAAUGAUGGAUUUUGAUAUAUUUUUGAAUGGGAAUACAUAGAUAACUCCUUCAGAUUUCAUUCUCUUUUUAUACUACUAAAACAUCUUUUAAAAAAGUAUAUCAGUACUGUGCAGUACUUAGUUUUAACUGCACAAUUUAGAUACUAUUCCUUUAACCUUCUUAUAUGCUUAAAUCUUUAAUUAUAUAGAUAAUAUAUUGCGUUAAAUUGUAUGUAAUAUUUUCUCCUAAGUUGUUUAAACAAAGUUGUGAAUUGAUAUGAUUGAAUGGUUCUAAUUUUUCCUACAAAUAUUUUUGAAAUAUUAACAUUUAGUUCCAAUGGUGAAUUACAAAAAUGGCACUCUUGAAAUUUCCUAUGAAAUGGAAAUUAUGUCUUCUAACUUGCUGUAUAAAUAAACCGUAGUUGUAUGUAUUAAGUGUCUACCGGAAACAUAUGAGAGAAGGAACUGAAUGAAUUAAUAUAAAACCAUUUCAAUAAAGACCUUAAACCAACAUUAAGAAAGCUGAAAUCCACACCAAAUUUAAGUAGUUUUCCACAUGAGAAAUUUCAGUGUGGGUAGUAUUUAUGCUUAAGGUAUAUUUGCCUCAGUAUUUGUACCAUCUUGUUUUGUCACUAAAAAAACUCAGACAUAAGAAGCUGUACUCCACAGUCCAAUCUGUGAAUAACAAGUAAUAACCCAGCCUUGAAAAGAACUGGGAAUCUCCACUAUCAGCUUGGAUUCAUUGAAAUGAGCAGAAGCAGCAAGAACCUCUCAGAUACUGUGAUGCAGAUUAAGUGGGGGAGUUUGAAGUCGAGAGAAGAAUCAGUAACAACACUACAGGUAGACCCUUAAUUUUUCAAGCUGAGUCAGAAAGGCAUUGCUGAAAGAAACUCCUAGGGCUGGAUCCACACUCAACACAUAUUUUUAGCACAUCAGUAAAAUCUUGUGUUGGUUCAGACAUUAUUUCUGCAUUAAAAACUGUGUUUACAUAUUCUGUGUUUACAUAUUUUGAACAGUAUCGCUUUAACAAACCAAUUAUUUUAAUUCAUGUAAUAAUUCACAUUUGAUCUGAAAGAGGCCCACCAAGUGUGUGUGUACAUAUGUAUGUUUGUGUGUAUUUCUUCAACAAUGCAGAUUAGCCCUUGCUGUUUAAUAAAUAUAUCAGUCAAGUCCACUGGUACAUGUGGAGAUAAGGCCUAUCUGUGCAUUUGGCAUGAUGAUCUUGACCCCAGGGAUUUAUUUUUUUCCAAGUUUCCUGAGGGGGUGUCAAUGAAUGUCAAUGGGUACCAUUUUUUCUGCAUUUUUUCUUCCAUUCAGUGACACAUCUUUGCUUCAUACACACUUCCAGGUCAGUCAUAAUUUUGUCAGACCGUCUCUCUGCUGCCAUCUGUCACCUGGCAACAAGAUGUAAUUGGAUAUUGGUUGGGAAGAUUCAACCCCUACUGUCAUACAAUCAACAUCUGCCUCUGACAUCAUGGGCCAACAUAAUAAAAUAGGAAGCAUUAUUUUUGAAGCAGCCCUUGUAUUCAAAGCCUCAAAUGCAUUAUGAAAAGCAGAGACAAAAAAGAAAUUCAAAAAAAGAUCAAUCAAUAAAGCUGUAAUUUUCUAAAUUUCCAAACUAUCUUUGCUAUUUCCUAAGGUAAACAGACAUUUGAAGAACUUACAAUCAAAUGCUUAACCUGGUGUAACAGUGACGCCAUCGUCUUCAUGCAUGUUAACAAAUCUCAAAUCAAGAGAUUUGAUUUCAAUCUGGAAAGAAGCACUAGUGUCUGCAAGAUAAAGAGAGCAAUCAAGUUCCACUUCUAGGUCCUAGGAUGAAAAAAAAAAAGGCUCCUUCAAAGAGGAAGCCUAUAACUGAUAUACCACUCUGUCUACUGAGCAUGACAGUGAAAAAGAAAGUAUUUCAUUGCACCAAGAAGAGGACAACUCCUUCUGAAACUGUUAUCCUCAGAUGGGAACUACUGUGCAAAAAUUCAUCACAUUAUUUGAAAACGAGUAACUUGCACAAGUGUAUGCCCUGAAGCAAAACAUGAAUAUAUGUAUGCUACACAUAAUUGGCAUGGUAAUGUUAUCCACUGAAAUAUCUAGGUCUCUACAUCAAGCUAAACAUCACAGAGCUAUAAUAAACAAGUAAAUAAAGAAGUGGUGAUUAGCAAACUGGAUUUAUGUUCUUAAGUACCUGAUGUGCUGUAAGUCAGUUCAUACUCACAUCCUAAAGCAGUUUGUGAAAUGUAUAUCUAUUUAAAUGACAUUUACAAAACCUGUUUAUGUUUCAACAUGAUAAAUUCAUCUUCAAUUACUUGGAAAAAUAGGGCGAGUAUUUAUAACCUGUUGUUCUUUUUUCAUAAAAGAAAAACCCAUGCCCAGGCAUUCCUAGUAAUUCUUACUUACAGUAUGACAUCCACAGUGUUCAUCAGAGUACAGUGCAGUGCUGUGCACCUGUAGGAAUUGUUGCUUAAUUUCACAGCUUAGGUGCCCAAAUUAAAUUGCACUGAUUACCUCUUCGACUCCUAUAUUAAAAAUUACCUUUGGUGGUUUUAAUAUAGAUACUCAGGAAGGUUUAAAUUUUAAAUGGAUGACCACGGGUUAAGCUUUAUUCCCUGUCUUAUUAGGAAUUAUACUAAAAAAGCUCUAACAGACUCCCUGUGUAUUUGCAAAAAUCUUUCUGGUGACACCUUAUGACAUCUUGUCAAAAUCCUCACUUUAUUCUUGGUAGUUUUACAUUAAGUUGCUGCCUGCUGGAAAUAAGUUUUAUCACAGCAGGAGCCUAAACCAACAUUUAUUUCAGAAAUCCCAAGAAAACAUUCAGAACUAUCACAGUUAUAGAAAUAUGUACCCCACAUCUUCUGUGGGUGGAUAGAUACAUGCCUGCAUCCGGAAGGCUGGAAACAGGUUUCAGCCCCUGACUGCGGAUGGCUCUGCUCAGAAAGUUCAACUACAACAGUCUGCAGCCAUCUGCUUGUUGCAAUCAGAUCCACUUCAAAGUGUCACAAUCUGACCUUUGUUAUGGCAACAAUAACUUGCAACGGAUGCUCAAGCCAGCUGGUCUGCAGAGAUCCUAGAUCGCCUCAGUGAGUUUAGAAUGACCUUUUGCAGUGCAGACACCAGAAGUCAAAGAGGUGAGCUAUCAUGUUAUCACAGAGAUCUCAGCAUGCUCUAAGGAGCUUUUUUCAGCCUAGGACUGAAAAAAGGGACUCCCUUUAGUGAAUCCUUGAGUCAGCUUUUUACUUCUGUGGUAGAGCCCAAAUGCAUUCUCCUUUCUCAGUUUAUACUUCACAUUUAAUAGAAAUUGUUUUUAUAACAAACAUUUAUGUAAAACCUCUCCAAUAAACUAGGUAGGGCUUCCUGUUAUUCUUUCACUGCUGCUUAGAUUUGUGGUGCUACUCUGAGGUGUUUGUAUUAUUGCUGUAAAGAAGUAGUAAAACAAACUAUCCAAAAUAUUGUUUUGAGCCUCAUUGGCCACUGUUUUUCGUAUCUCUUGCCCUGAUAAGGAAUUCCCAGGUAAAAGAGCCAAACUUGUAUCCAUUUCCUCUUCCCUUCCAGAGAGUUUCUAAGAAUACAAACAUACCCAAUUUCACAGGUAAUACACUACAUAUCUCUG